GAUCCUGGCUCAGGAUGAACGCUAGCGGCAGGCUUAACACAUGCAAGUCGAGGGGCAGCAUAAUGGAUAGCAAUAUCUAUGGUGGCGACCGGCGCACGGGUGCGUAACGCGUAUGCAACCUACCUUUAACAGGGGGAUAACACUGAGAAAUUGGUACUAAUACCCCAUAAUAUCAUAGAAGGCAUCUUUUAUGGUUGAAUACUCGNGUGUAGA
rnacentral:rRNA from 1 species